rnacentral:rRNA from 1 species
UACGGGGGGAGCAAGCGUUGUUCGGAUUUACUGGGCGUAAAGGGCGUGUAGGCGGCCACCGCAAGUCGGUUGUGAAAUCUCUGGGCUUAACCCAGAAAGGUCAACCGAUACUGCGGGGCUAGAGUGCAGAAGGGGCAACUGGAAUUCUCGGUGUAGCGGUGAAAUGCGUAGAUAUCGAGAGGAACACCUGCGGCGAAGGCGGGUUGCUGGGCUGACACUGACGCUGAAGCGCGAAAGCUAGGGGAGCGAACGGG